CAGUAGCCGCGGGAAAACCAGCACCUCGAGUGGUCAGGAGGUCUAUUGGGCCUAAAGGAUCCGUAGCCGGUUGCAUAAGUUUUCGGUUAAAUCUAUGCGCUUAACGUAUAGGCCGCCGAAAAUACUGUGCAGCUAGGGAGUGGGAGAGGUACACGGUACUCGAUAGGAAGGGGUAAAAUCCUUUGAUCUAUUGAUGACCACCUGUGGCGAAGGCGGUGUACCAGAACACGUUCGACGGUGAGGGAUGAAAGCUGGGGGAGCAAACCGGAUUAGAUACCCGCGUAGUCCCUGUCUCUUAUAC
rnacentral:rRNA from 1 species